AUGCGUGGCAUACGGCUCAGUAACACGUAGUCAACAUGCCCAGGGGACGUGGAUAACCUCGGGAAACUGAGGAUAAACCACGAUAGGCCAAGAUUUCUGGAAUGAAUCAUGGCUGAAAUCUACAUGGCCCCUGGAUUGGACUGCGGCCGAUCAGGCUGUUGGUGAGGUAAUGGCCCACCAAACCUAUAACCGGUACGGGCUCUGAGAGGAGGAGCCCGGAGAUGGGCACUGAGACAAGGGCCCAGGCCCUAUGGGGCGCAGCAGGCGCGAAACCUCUGCAAUAGGCGAAAGCUUGACAGGGUUACUCUGAGUGAUGCCCGUUAAGGGCAUCUUUUGGCACCUCUAAAAAUGGUGUAGAAUAAGGGGUGGGCAAGUCUGGUGUCAGCCGCCGCGGUAAUACCAGCACCCCGAGUGGUCGGGACGAUUAUUGGGCCUAAAGCAUCCGUAGCCGGUUCUGCAAGUCUUCCGUUAAAUCCACCUGCUCAACAGAUGGGCUGCGGGGGAUACUACAGGGCUAGGAGGCGGGAGAGGCAAGCGGUACUCGGUGGGUAGGGGUAAAAUCCUCUGAUCCACUGAGGACCACCAGUGGCGAAGGCGGCUUGCCAGAACGCGCUCGACGGUGAGGGAUGAAAGCUGGGGGAGCAAACCGGAUUAGAUACCCGGGUAGUCCCAGCUGUAAAC
rnacentral:rRNA from 1 species